rnacentral:rRNA from 1 species
AUUGAACGCUGGCGGCAUGCCUUACACAUGCAAGUCGAACGGCAGCGGGCCUUCGGGUGCCGGCGAGUGGCGAACGGGUGAGUAAUGCAUCGGAACGUGCCAUUGAGUGGGGGAUAACGUAGCGAAAGUUACGCUAAUACCGCAUAUUCUGUGAGCAGGAAAGCAGGGGACCGCAAGGCCUUGCGCUCUUUGAGCGGCCGAUGUCAGAUUAGCUAGUUGGUGAGGUAAAGGCUUACCAAGGCGACGAUCUGUAGCGGGUCUGAGAGGAUGAUCCGCCACAUUGGAACUGAGACACGGUCCAGACUCCUACGGGAGGCAGCAGUGGGGAAUUUUGGACAAUGGGCGCAAGCCUGAUCCAGCCAUGCCGCGUGAGUG